ACGCUUAACCAACUGAGCCACCCAGGCACCCCUGGAAGUCAUGUUUCUAUAGCUGUUAUUUUAUGGUUCCCUUCUGUAAUACUACACUCAAAAAGUCCGCAGCCCAGUAACUGACAAAUAUUCACAUAUUAUUUCUUCCAGUUUCUUUAUUCCUUUUUCUUGCUUCAUUCUCAAAUUCUGGGAUUUAUUUUGAUGCAUGUCAUUUGUCUUAUCUCCCUUCUUUAAAUUGAAUACAAUGAAACCCAGAAAGAAUUUUAAUAAACUAUUUACCGACCCAGAGUUCCUCCUGUGAAUAUGUCCCUGGCUAAAUGAGAGGAAAGAAAUGCAGUUUGGAAAUUUCUUUUUCUUCAGCUUAGUGUGUCUGCUACUGAUUACAGACGUAUUCCUUUCUCACACAGCAGCCCCUGGAACCAUUCUGAUAUGAAUGCAGGGACAGCAGUCAGCUACGAGAUAUAACCAGAAAAGCGGUGAAAGCACAUGUUUCUUAAAAUGUGGCUGCUGUUCCUGGGGAAGCGUUUGAAUGUCGUUCUGUCUGCUUGAAUGUGACGCCGUGCGUGUUACUAAUCACGCAUACGUGAUCUCACUUAGUGACUUCAGAUAUUUACCCCGCGUUGCAGGUUUUACAGAUGAAGAAACUGAUGCUCUAAGAGGUUAAAUAACAUUCCCAAGGUCGUAUGGAGAAAAUCACAUUUAAAUUGAUGACCCAUUUGCUGUACUCGCGGAUGGUGUAAGGCUCGUCAAUGAUCCAUAGACACACUUUUGCAGGGGAUUAUAAACUACCAUUUUCCCAAAGUUUUGAUUGGGAAUGAUGCUGAGCUGGGCCCAUGACGUCAUAGCAUUUGCCAAUAUGUAAACAAACAGCGCAAGGAUCAGCUGGUGUCCGCCUAAAAAAAAUAAGCAUUUAAUCUUGUGUGGUGCGACAGAAGGGGUUUAAAAUAUGUAUCUUCGGUGGAUUUUUCAAAGCUGAUGCAGUUGUUCCCGCAAUGUUCUGUGAGAAAAAGAGCAUCUAAAGGAAAAACGGAUGUCGAGCGCUCUGUGCUUUCAAAGGCAAGAGUGUUUCUUGCUAGGUCAGUGGGAUCAGGACGUUUUAGCCUCCUGGGGAGUAAACCUUGAACUGAGUCCGGUUUCUGGUUUUUAUCCUCCUUGAUCCGGGACCCAGACGCUGGUCUGCUCUCCUGCAGGUAGUCUUCUGUUUGUCCCUGUGCUGUGUGGCCAGCCCGGGCAGCGUCAGUGAAGCAGAGGAGUGCGGAGUUGAUGGGAGGACCACGUGAGGACCUCACGGAAACAGACAAUCGUAAGGCCACCCUUCCGCAGUGUGUUCUGUGGGAGGCGCUCUCCAGAGAACCUGUCACCCACGCGCACAGUUACUGCCGCCCUAGCCAGCAUCUCCCAGUUUGAUGAUGGAGGCACACUACCUCCUGCCUUUGCCAGCCCUUAGGAGAGGCUUACGUCCUGCUCCGGGGAGCUCUGGACUGGAGCGGUGGUGAGCUGCAGGUGCACAGAAAGGUGCUACCCACGCCUGCUCCUUCUUCUCUGCUCUUCUUCUAGGCUAUUCCUGUGAGCAACAGGGCUCAAGCCCGUAGGAGACACCACAGAAAAUGCUUUAAAGUUAUCGAACCAAAGGGUGAAACAGUUGAGAUUUUUUUUCCAGCUUUCCAUCUGUCAUUGAUUUGAUGGCUGCUUGCGAGGACAUUAAUUUUCUGGCGCUCUGGCUUGCUCUGCGUGUCGGCCACGUGUGCUCCCUCAGCCAGAAAAAUAAAAAUAGCCCUUAUGUGAUUGCAGUAAGAAAACUUGAUCUUUUAGAGGUGAAUUCUGAGGGGAUACGAACACUGAAACCACAACAUCUACUACGGAGGCACAUACCUGAAAUACGUCUGUCAUAAGACGGAUUCAAGCUGGCGGGCCCGGGUUUGAAUGCUGAUUUGCUACGUAAUCUUGAUUAAAGCUCGUAAAUUUUUAUAGCCUCGGUGUCUUCAUCUAUAAACAAAAACAAAGCCUCCAUUAAAGGACACUUGUACAGAUUAGAUGGGGCUAUGAAUGUAUAGAUUAACACAGAACUAAGCACUUAUGACAGCCUACUGACUAGAAACUUGUUGUUCAGUGAAGUAUUUACUAAGUAUGUACUAUGUGCCAAGCCCGUGGUAGAUGUUAGAGACGGAGAUGAAUAAAACAAAUGCAAAACCUCA